UACGGAGGGGGCUAGCGUUGUUCGGAAUUACUGGGCGUAAAGCGCACGUAGGCGGCUUUGUAAGUUAGAGGUGAAAGCCCGGGGCUCAACUCCGGAAUUGCCUUUAAGACUGCAUCGCUAGAAUUGUGGAGAGGUAAGUGGAAUUCCGAGUGUAGAGGUGAAAUUCGUAGAUAUGGGGAGGAACACCGGUGGCGAAGGCGGCCAUCUGGACGGAUACUGACGCUGAGACGCGAAAGCGUGGGGAGCAAACAGG
rnacentral:rRNA from 1 species